GGUGGGUAACCACAGGGUUUUCCCAGUCACGGCGUUGUAAAGCCGCGCCCAGAAAAUUGUUAUGCGUCUCUAUAUAGGGAGAAUUGAAUUUAGCGGCCGAGAAUUCCCCCUUAAUACCACUGUGGCUGACAGGUAGUUAUGCGGGCAGUAUUCUUCCGGUCCAGUCAUCGGCCACAGGAAUUAGCCAGAGCUAUUUCUUUCGGGGAAAAAGGGCUUUACAAGGAGAAGACCUUCUUCACCCUUUUGGCAGGGGAGGAUCAGGCUUUCCCCCAUUGUCCAAAAUUCCCCACUGCUGCCUGCAAUCAGAGUAUGGUCGGUCCCUCAGUCCCAGAGUGACUGAUCGUCCUCUCAGACCAUCGGCGGAUUGUAGCCCCGGCGGGCCUUUACCCCACCAACGGUCUAAUCAGACAUUCAGCGCUCCUAUAGCAUGAGGCCUUUCGGUCCCCCACUUUCAGGCAGCAGUGGGGAAUAGUAUUCAAUAAUCUUUCGACUAGUUAUCCCCCACUACAGGGCACGAGAAGACGUAUUACUCACCCAGCCGCCACUCGCCAUCAAUAAACCAAGUUAGAUCAUGCCGCCGUUGAACUUGCACCCUAAGACAAACCACCAGCGAACAAUGUGACCCCUAAUCAAGCUAU
rnacentral:rRNA from 1 species